rnacentral:rRNA from 1 species
GAUGAACGCUGGCGGCGUGCCUAAUACAUGCAAGUCGAGCGAACGGACGAGAAGCUUGCUUCUCUGAUGUUAGCGGCGGACGGGUGAGUAACACGUGGAUAACCUACCUAUAAGACUGGGAUAACUUCGGGAAACCGGAGCUAAUACCGGAUAAUAUUUUGAACCGCAUGGUUCAAAAGUGAAAGACGGUCUUGCUGUCACUUAUAGAUGGAUCCGCGCUGCAUUAGCUAGUUGGUAAGGUAUCGGCUUACCAAGGCAACGAUGCAUAGCCGACCUGAGAGGGUGAUCGGCCACACUGGAACUGAGACACGGUCCAGACUCCUACGGGAGGCAGCAGUAGGGAAUCUUCCGCAAUGGGCGAAAGCCUGACGGAGCAACGCCGCGUGAGUGAUGAAGGUCUUCGGAUCGUAAAACUCUGUUAUUAGGGAAGAACAUAUGUGUAAGUAACUGUGCACAUCUUGACGGUACCUAAUCAGAAAGCCACGGCUAACUACGUG